UACGUAGGGGGCAAGCGUUGUCCGGAAUCAUUGGGCGUAAAGCGCGUGUAGGCGGCCCGGUAAGUCCGCUGUGAAAGUCGGGGGCUCAACCCUCGGAUGCCGGUGGAUACUGUCGGGCUAGAGUGCGGAAGAGGCGAGUGGAAUUCCUGGUGUAGCGGUGAAAUGCGCAGAUAUCAGGAGGAACACCAGUGGCGAAGGCGACACGCUGGGCCGUGCCUGACACUGAGGCGCGACAGCAUGGGGAGCAAACAGG
rnacentral:rRNA from 1 species